rnacentral:tRNA from 57 species
GGCGACAUAGCCAAGUGGUAAGGCAGAGGACUGCAAAUCCUUUAUCCCCAGUUCAAAUCCGGGUGUCGCCU